rnacentral:ncRNA from 2 species
UAACUUUAUGGCGAUGGAGUUCGCCUAAUGCUGUGAAGCUAAUGGCUCCUACCUGACA